ACGAAGUCGGAAUUGCUAGUAAUCGCGGAUCAGCAUGCCGCGGUGAAUACGUUCCCGGGCCUUGUACACACCGCCCGUCACACCAUGAGAGUCGGGAACACCCGAAGUCCGUAGUCUAACCGCAAGGAGGACGCGGCCGAAGGUGGGCUUGAUAAUUGGGGUGAAGUCGUAACAAGGUAUC
rnacentral:rRNA from 1 species